rnacentral:lncRNA from 1 species
AAUCUUAUGCCCAUAUUUAGGAUUAUUCAAUUGGUUAUUUGAAGCCAAUUAUUUAAUAUAUGUAUAGAUUGAUUCGAUAUAAGAAACGUACUUGAAUAAUUAACGACGACUGUGUAUAAUUUGGUUUUGUAAGGACGACAUAAUUUAUUUAUCAAAAAUCGUAAUUAAUCAUUCGUGUUUGGACUUAUUCGAGGAAGUUGUGUCCAGUCAUGAUUUAUGCAACCAGAAAGAUACAAAUACACUAAGUCACAAGAAGGUCACGACAUUCUUUGUCUCAGCCAUUUAUUCAAAUGGGGCUUUAGCUGUGUUUACC